rnacentral:rRNA from 1 species
GCGAGUGAAGCGGCAAAAGCUCAAAUUUGAAAUCCUCCGGGAAUUGUAAUUUGAAGGACCUAUUAAAACCCUGGGAGAGCCCAAAGUCCAUUGGAAAAUGGCGCCAUAGAAGGUGAUAGCCCUGUGUGGACCUCUCCCGGUAUAUUUUUUAGGCCCAAAGAGUCGAGUUGUUUGGGAAUGCAGCUCUAAGUGGGUGGUAAAUUCCAUCUAAAGCUAAAUAUUGGCGAGAGACCGAUAGCGAACAAGUACAGUGAUGGAAAGAUGAAAAGCACUUUGAAAAGAGAGUGAAAAAGUACGUGAAAUUGUUGAAAGGGAAGGGCUUGCAAGCAGACACAACCUCGGUUGGGCCAGCAUCGGGGCGGGGGGAAACAAAAAAGGUGUGGAAUGUGGCUCUUUUAGAGUGUUAUAGCCCCACCCAAUAUUUCCAUCCCAUCCCGAGGCCUGCGAUUCUUCAAGGAUGCUGGCGUAAUGGUUGCAAGUCGCCC